CACAGUGGUGGGGUCAUGAAGGACUCUAGUGAGGAGCUGAGCAGGAAGAGCUCGGCCACACUGGUGUGCCUGGCUGACCAGGGCUUCCCCUCCGACUGGAGCCUGAGCUGGAAGGUGGAUGGGAGCAGGAAGAGUGGAGUGGCCAGUGGUGGGGUCAUGAAGGACGCUCUGUACAGCUGGAGCAGCACCCUGACGCUCAGUGAUGCCGAGUGGAACGGGGCCUCUUCAGUGGUCUGUGAGGCCACCCAGGGAUCUCAGGGAGCGGUCACUAAAGCCCUGAGCAGAGCGGACUGCUCUCAGUAGGGUCCAGUCUCUGCUCUGAUGAGGCGGCUGCUCUCUUAGCUCAAGUCCUCACGUGGAGCGCCACUGUAGGCAGAUUCAGCACAUGCUGUGCUGCAGUUUUACUUUGUUUGGUGUUUUCUUAUUCCAAUUGUGUGUAUGUUCUUCCUCUCAUGCUGAAAUGCUGUCAUUGAUUAAAAAAUAAUAAUUCCUUUGCUUGAUCAGAUUUUUGUCAAUUGAAGAUAUUCUUUAAAGGCUCUUAAAUAAAAUGUGAACUUCA